GGCGGGCGCAGCGAGCGCGCGCGGCCCGCCCCCUCCUUCCUCUCUGUGGUGGCUUGUGGGCGGCAUGGCGGCCGGGCCGAGGGCGAGCAUGGCUUGGUGUUGAGCAAAGGUAAAACCACUCACCUGCCUGAGAAGCGGCUGCUCUGUCAGUUUCUGCACCGACACCAAACCCACACCAGCUGCAUGAUGGAGGAAACGGCCCUGCAGGAUCCUGGGCUUGUGCUGUGGCCCAAAGAUGGCUUUGGCAAGAGGGCAGCUGCUAAGCUGGGCUUCAGGCUGGUAAGAGAACGCUUCAAUAUUGCAUGCCGCUCGUUUUUAAUUCAUUAAUUAUCUGUUGGAUCUGCAGGCAGUGUGACUCAUCUGCUGACAGAUUAGCUAGUCUUUGAACGCUUCCCAGGAAAAAUACUAGUCAUCAGGAAGGAGGCUGGUCAUCAGCACGUCGGCAUCUGGGUGUCUGUGCUGUGUGGGGUUUUGCAGAACUUGAGGAGUUUCUGUGGCCGAGGGCAGGAGAGGGGCUGAGCCUGUGAUGUGCUGUUAUCCCUGUCUGAGCACUCCGCUGUGAGGGAGAAACAACUUCCACUGAGGCUUGUGUGCGUGUCCCCUUAGUGGGUCUCCUACCCUUUGCGAAGACUCAGGUGACACAGGUGGCACCAGCAGUGUCCCUACCCUUGCGCCCUUUGCAAAGACUCAGGUGGCACCAGCAGUGUCCCUACCCUUGCCACAUGCGACUGUAGCACAACACUGUCCCAGACACAGGCUGUUGGGCAGCCCAGAUCCAGCCCGGCUCUGUGCAGGGAGUAACGCGCCGGCCGCCGUUGCCAUAGCAAAGUUUGGAUCCCUGAAGAGCUUUUAAGUUGUGUAUCCAAACAGUGAGGCACAGCGGCGGGUUAAAGGGCAGAUAAGAAAUGUGUUUUUAUCUCACUUGAUGUACAGUCACUGAAUACACACGCUGGAACGGCACUUUGUCUCCGGGGAGCUGACAGCUGCAUUCUGCUAAAUCAUUUCACGCUUUAUUUAACAGAAUUUGUAUUUGUUUGCAGAAGAUCAAUAACGUUGGCUGACAGGCUGAGCUGGCAAACUUGAUGAGCGUGGACUUCCUUAAGAAAUCAAGGUUGGUGUGCAAAAGGGGAGGGAAUGGUGCUACAAACCAGUAGUCAAGUGGUUGCUCUGUCAAUAGGGCUGUGUUCCAAGCGGGACCAGUCACUGGGAAGAGCACGUGGGGCUUCUGGCUUCCAAGGAAUAAGGGGAAAAAAAGUGAAGGGGUGGCCUGGUGACAAAUAGAGAAAGUAAAAGCUACUCGGGGCUUUAAGAAUGGAGAGGGGCAGGAAUUGUUUCAGAUUUAACUUUAGGAAAGUGCUUACAGCAUUGCUUUGUGGUGUCUCCCAGCUCUAGAAGCAGCAGAGGGAAGGUUGUUCUGGAGUGGGUCUCGCAAGUGGCCACCGAGAUGUCAUUCAGAAGGGUGUAAAACAGCCACCUGCGUGGGACUGUGGGCUCCUCGCUGCUCAGGGGCUGCUGCAACCACAUCCUGGGUGAGUUCCCAGUAAAGCCAGAGAGGAUUUGGGUACUGGUGCCAUUGGCCUGGGAGGGAGCAAGAGGAUUUGGGUACUGGUGCCAUUGGCUUGGGAGGGAGCAAGUGUUUGUUUCCUGAGACCUGUACUCUCCACAAAAUAGUGCAAACCAGGAGCUUUCCAGGUGACAGCUGCUUUGCUCUGACACUUACCUUUUUUCCACUAGGACCUGAUCUACAGCUGGCUGGAGGAAAAAGUGGUUCCCUGCGUUCUUCUGUUCCAGAAUAAAAUAAGUUAUGGGAAAUCUUGGGAGCUGAAG
rnacentral:lncRNA from 1 species